UACGUAGGGGGCAAGCGUUGUCCGGAAUCAUUGGGCGUAAAGAGCGUGUAGGCGGCCAGAUAAGUCCGCUGUGAAAACUCGAGGCUCAACUUCGAGCUGUCGGCGGAAACUAUCUGGCUAGAGUCCGGAAGAGGAGAGUGGAAUUCCUGGUGUAGCGGUGGAAUGCGCAGAUAUCAGGAGGAACACCAAUAGCGAAGGCAGCUCGCUGGGACGGUACUGACGCUGAGACGCGAAAGCGUGGGGAGCAAACAGG
rnacentral:rRNA from 1 species